ACAGCAGUAGCCGCGGGAAUACGAAGGGGGCUAGCGUUGUUCGGAUUUACUGGGCGUAAAGCGCACGUAGGCGGACUUUUAAGUCAGGGGUGAAAUCCCGGGGCUCAACCCCGGAACUGCCUUUGAUACUGGAAGUCUUGAGUAUGGUAGAGGUGAGUGGAAUUCCGAGUGUAGAGGUGAAAUUCGUAGAUAUUCGGAGGAACACCAGUGGCGAAGGCGGCUCACUGGACCAUUACUGACGCUGAGGUGCGAAAGCGUGGGGAGCAAACAGGAUUAGAUACCCCUGUAGUCCCUGUCUCUUAUAC
rnacentral:rRNA from 1 species